rnacentral:misc_RNA from 1 species
GUUUAUGUUCUUUUCCAUUCCUUUUCUUUUCUUUUCUUUAUUUCUGGGUUGGGUGUUGUUUGGGGCUAGAUUCAUGAAGGUAUUAUCAUGGGCCAUAGAAUCAAUUUUUACUCGAGAAUCAAUAACUGUAUGUUCUUUUUUCAGAGACCAUCUCUACCUUAUUCAGUGAUCAACAAAAUCAUAUUCCUUCUGCAUUUACUUAGACUUUUGAUUGGAUUUUUAGGUCCAUUUUACUUCAUCUACAGCUGUGGAGUGUAGACAUGUUUUGUUGAUAAAUUUAUGGAUCUAAAACUUCCCCACCUUUUAUUUGUACUCUUGUAAUCAUUAUCGUCACACAAAUAAAUUAGACCUAAUAAUCACGUUGUGCUUAAUUAAUAAAUUGUGGUUGAAAGUUACAGCUAGAUGAUAAGGUAUAGAAUAGCGUUCCUGGGGUCAAAUUUAAGUAUUUAGACUGUAAUAAGAGAUUCAGCCAUCAAGUGUGACAAUUUGAAGCAAUUCUUAUGGAUCAAAUGAUCAGACAUAAUCCUAAU